GAUGAACGCUGGCGGCGUGCCUAAUACAUGCAAGUCGAGCGAACGGACGAGAAGCUUGCUUCUCUGAUGUUAGCGGCGGACGGGUGAGUAACACGUGGAUAACCUACCUAUAAGACUGGGAUAACUUCGGGAAACCGGAGCUAAUACCGGAUAAUAUUUUGAACCGCAUGGUUCAAAAGUGAAAGACGGUCUUGCUGUCACUUAUAGAUGGAACCGCGCUGCAUUAGCUAGUUGGUAAGGUAACGGCUUACCAAGGCAACGAUGCAUAGCCGACCUGAGAGGGUGAUCGGCCACACUGGAACUGAGACACGGUCCAGACUCCUACGGGAGGCAGCAGUAGGGAAUCUUCCGCAAUGGGCGAAAGCCUGACGGGGCAACGCCGCGUGAGUGAUGAAGGUCUUCGGAUCGUAAAACUCUGUUAUUAGGGAAGAACAUAUGUGUAAGUAACUGUGCACAUCUUGACGGUACCUAAUCAGAAAGCCACGGCUAACUACGUG
rnacentral:rRNA from 1 species